AACGAACGCUGGCGGCAUGCCUAACACAUGCAAGUCGAACGAGACCUUCGGGACUGGUGGCGCACGGGUGCGUAACGCGGGGGAACCUGCCCUUAGGCUCGGAAUAACUCUCUGAAGGGGGUGCUAAUACCGGAUAAUGUCUGCGGACCAAAGAUUUGUCGCCUUUGGAUGGGCACGCGUUGGAUUAGCUAGUUGGUAGGGUAAAAGCCUACCAAGGCGACGAUCCAUAGCUGGUCUGAGAGGAUGAUCAGCCACACUGGGACUGGGACACGGCCCAGAAUCCUACGGGAGGCAGCAGUGGGGAAUAUUGGACAAUGGGCGAAAGCCUGAUCGAGCAAUGCCGCGUGAGUGAUGAAGGCCUUAGGGUUGUAAAGCUCUUUUACCCGGGAUGAUAAUGACAGUACCGGGAGAAUAAGCUCCGGCUAACUCCGUG
rnacentral:rRNA from 1 species